CUCCAGAUGAAGCUUUUUAGUUUCUGUCUUAUCUGUUUUUAUUUUAAAUAUAUUUCACAGAAUACUAUAUUUGUCAUGUCCUCAGUGUUAACAGAAUAGGAAAACAAAGCUAUCCACACCUACGUCCACCAAGAAGUGGAAGAAGAGGAGGCGCAUCAUCCAGCACUUUCUCCUCCGGCUUUAACUGUUGCUUGUGCUGGACAGAGAUCAGGGAUUUAUUAUUUUACAUUUUUCCUUUGAUUCUAUGUUUUAAUCAUAUUCUCAUAAAGUUUUAUUUCAUAUUGUGGUGCUGUUGCCCUGGAUGGUGCAUCUCCUCUUUUGUUUGGAGAGCCUCCCAUCGAGGACAGGUUUACUGGCACCUACCGAAAGCCUCUUCAGUUCUCAGAAAUAAACCUUUCAUGGUUCCAAGAGGAACUGAGAUCAGAUCACGUCUUAACUGCAUCAAGCAGCUAAAGCCUAACCAUCAGUCAGUUUAAGGAAGUGACAUCAUGAGAGUCAGAGGAAGUAGACGCUCCAUCUCUCUACCAGAGUCAGUCACACAGUUGGACUGAGACUGAGAACAAGAGACGCUCGAUGGCUGAAUUCACAUGGAUUACAGUGUUUUCCUUAUGGAUGCUAACCU